UGCUUUGGCCUGGGGACCACUCUUGUUAUGCAGUCUAGGAUCAUAGACUCAUAGAAUAGUUUGAGUUGGAAAAGACCUAUAAUGUCCAAAGUCUCUGCAAUGAACAGGGGUAAUUUCAGCUAGGUCAGAUUGCUCAGAGCUCUGUCCAACCUGACCUUGAAUGCCUCCAGGGAUGGGGCAUCUACCAGCUCUCUGGGCAACCUUUUCCAAUGUUUCAUUACCAAAAAGGAUACAGUUACCUUUCUGAGAUGCAAGUUUCUAAAACAUUCCCAUUUAUUCAUCCACAAUUAGCCUCAAUUCCUUCUCUGCAAGGCUGCUCUAAAUCCAAUUGUUAUCCACACUAUACUGAUACAGAUUGAAGACAAUAACUUACGUCUCUAAGGAAAUCUACAUAUUUUAAAAAUAUUUUUACUGGUAGAUACUUUACCUUGAACAAGCUAUAUUUCGGUACUCACUAGUUUAUUUUAAAUUUAAAUUAAAGCUAAUUCAUGAAUGCAAAAUAAUUUUAAAUUUCAACAUAAAAUCUAAUGAAAUAAAACUUUAAAAAAAAUUAUUCAGUCUAGCUAAGAAAAGAAUAAGUGCCAAAACAUCCAUAGGGAAGUAGUUUUGUAUCAGGUAGGAAGAUGAAAGAGAAAGCAAGAAAGGAUACCAGAAUGGAUAAAAAUACUGAUAUUCCUUAACAUAAUCUUAUAUUGUAGCUUUGUUGAAAAUGACCAUCUAUGGUAAUUGUAAAAAUUUAAUGGUAUUGGUACUUUUACAAUUGUUUCCACAAUUAAAAUGUUGGGUUCUUUAAAAGAAAACACAAUACCCUUAUUGCUUUUUGAUAUAUGUGACACUAUUGAUGCUUGGCUAUAAUGACAUCAGUAAAAGAACUUGACAAAUUUUAAACAAAAUACAACACAGACCAUAUGCCAUAACAAGAUAAUAUACUUUUUUCUUUAAAAUUAUCCAUCUCAUUAAGCUAGAACAUUAAGUGUAUCACUGCUGUUGCAGGUUUGAUGGUUUGUUUGGGUUUUUUUUUGUUUUAAUUAAUAUGCAUUAACUUAUUUUGAUUUUUCUAGUGAGAACUGAGUAAUCUCAAUUCGCUUGAGGCAUCCAAAAGGACAAAAAGAUCAAGAGAACAAUUUGCCAACAAGACACAAGAAAAAGGCUGUUUCUCAUUCAUGCUGAGAACAAAUGUCAGCUGUCAACUUCAAUAGUUACAGCCACAAGGCUUGUCAAGUUAGGGUUAGCUGUGAAAAUCAGGGAGUACUGAAAAGUCCAAGCUGGAUGCAAUAUUCUGGUGCAUUCCCUGACAUCUAUAGAUUAGCUAAUUUUGCCUCCAAUUUCCAGUUCAGAAUUACAAAUUCUGAGUUACAAAUCUGGAGUUUCACAUGAGAAGGUGAAAUACUGAAAGCACAAUUACACAAGUCUAGGACAGGCCACAGAGCAAAGCUAAUUCCUGCACAGGUGCUGUUUCUGAGUUGUUGUGUGACUUGGAAAAAUCGUUCUCAAUCUUUUUCUCUGUCCCUUUUAAUUUGUUUUCCUUCACAUGUAAAUCAGUGAGUUCCCAAAUACUCAUGAAGCAUCUAGCCAGAAGGAAAACUUGUUUAAGGGCUUAAGGGCACAACAACAGUCACAGAUAUUAUUUAUAUGCUAAAACAAUAAAAUAAAAGAAGGAGCAAUUUGCCCAUGCAAAACUUUUGUGUUCUGGAAAAGAAGCUCAAAUUCCAGGCAACAUUUGGUAGGGUAGAACAGGAGGCUUAAGCAGGUCUGACAGCAGAUGAGUUAGGUCACACUAGAUCAUAGAUGGUUAAGGAAGAUAAAUCAAUUUUAGAACCGAUGGAAUAGAAACUUGAAAAACAAUAAUUAUAGAAAAAACUGCUUAUGAUAUUGACAAGAUAUAUACACUUCUCUUCUGUAAAUAUAAUAUACACCUCUCUUCUGUAAAUGUUUUAACAUAAAAUUUAUAAUUUUUUUUCAUUCCAAACUGUUACAAUUAUUAGAUGAUACAGCUUUCCACUCAACUGCAAGGACAAAGGAACCUGGAUACUCAGUGAAAUGGGAUGAGAGUUUAGCUGUAUGUAGGACCAAGGUUUAAAUCAAAGACCUUCAUCUAUGAGAGUGAUGUUUAUUUUUCAUCAUGAGAGUCCAUUUGAGUGGCUCAGUUGGCUACAGAAGUAAUAAAUUACAUGAAGCUUUUGGCAGAAAAGAAGCUGAAAAGCCACAGACAUUGCAGCUUUUAGCAGCCUUCAAAGUCAACGCACCUUUGAGUGUUACUCUGAUGAACCUCAUUGUUUUCACUGACAUGGAUUUU